UUCUAGCCUAGUGGACAUGGCAUCUGCCCGGUAAGCGGAACAUUGGGUUCGAUUCCCAUCCCUGGACAC